CGUAGGGUGCGAGCGUUGUCCGGAAUUACUGGGCGUAAAGAGUUCGUAGGCGGUUUGUCGCGUCGUUCGUGAAAACUUGGGGCUUAACUCCAAGCGUGCGGGCGAUACGGGCAGACUUGAGUACUACAGGGGAGACUGGAAUUCCUGGUGUAGCGGUGAAAUGCGCAGAUAUCAGGAGGAACACCGGUGGCGAAGGCGGGUCUCUGGGUAGUAACUGACGCUGAGGAACGAAAGCGUGGGUAGCGAACAGG
rnacentral:rRNA from 1 species